AUAGGGUCAAGUGAAUAAGUGCAUCAGGCGGAUGCCUUGGCGAUGAUAGGCGACGAAGGACGUGUAAGCCUGCGAAAAGCGCGGGGGAGUUGGCAAUAAAGCUAUGAUUCCGCGAUGUCCGAAUGGGGAAACCCACUGCAUUCUGUGCAGUAUCCUAAGUUGAAUACAUAGGCUUAGAGAAGCGAACCCGGAGAACUGAACCAUCUAAGUACCCGGAGGAAAAGAAAUCAACCGAGAUUCCGCAAGUAGUGGCGAGCGAACGCGGAGGAGCCUGUACGUAAUAACUGUCGAGAUAGAAGAACAAGCUGGGAAGCUUGACCAUAGCGGGUGACAGUCCCGUAUUCGAAAUCUCAACAGCGGUACUAAGCGUACGAAAAGUAGGGCGGGACACGUGAAAUCCUGUCUGAAUAUGGGGGGACCAUCCUCCAAGGCUAAAUACUCAUCAUCGACCGAUAGUGAACCAGUACCGUGAGGGAAAGGCGAAAAGAACCCCGGGAGGGGAGUGAAACAGAACCUGAAACCUGAUGCAUACAAACAGUGGGAGCGCCCUAGUGGUGUGACUGCGUACCUUUUGUAUAAUGGGUCAACGACUUACAUUCAGUAGCGAGCUUAACCGGAUAGGGGAGGCGUAGGGAAACCGAGUCUUAAUAGGGCGAUGAGUUGCUGGGUGUAGACCCGAAACCGAGUGAUCUAUCCAUGGUCAGGUUGAAGGUGCCGUAACAGGUACUGGAGGACCGAACCCACGCAUGUUGCAAAAUGCGGGGAUGAGCUGUGGGUAGGGGUGAAAGGCUAAACAAACUCGGAGAUAGCUGGUUCUCCCCGAAAACUAUUUAGGUAGUGCCUCGAGCAAGACACUGAUGGGGGUAAAGCACUGUUAUGGCUAGGGGGUUAUUGCAACUUACCAACCCAUGGCAAACUCAGAAUACCAUCAAGUGGUUCCUCGGGAGACAGACAGCGGGUGCUAACGUCCGUUGUCAAGAGGGAAACAACCCAGACCGCCGGCUAAGGUCCCAAAUGAUAGAUUAAGUGGUAAACGAAGUGGGAAGGCACAGACAGCCAGGAUGUUGGCUUAGAAGCAGCCAUCAUUUAAAGAAAGCGUAAUAGCUCACUGGUCGAGUCGUCCUGCGCGGAAGAUGUAACGGGGCUCAAAUCUAUAACCGAAGCUGCGGAUGCCGGUUUACCGGCAUGGUAGGGGAGCGUUCUGUAGGCUGAUGAAGGUGCAUUGUAAAGUGUGCUGGAGGUAUCAGAAGUGCGAAUGUUGACAUGAGUAGCGAUAAAGCGGGUGAAAAGCCCGCUCGCCGAAAGCCCAAGGUUUCCUACGCAACGUUCAUCGGCGUAGGGUGAGUCGGCCCCUAAGGCGAGGCAGAAAUGCGUAGUCGAUGGGAAACAGGUUAAUAUUCCUGUACUUGAUUCAAAUGCGAUGUGGGGACGGAGAAGGUUAGGUUGGCAAGCUGUUGGAAUAGCUUGUUUAAGCCGGUAGGUGGAAGACUUAGGCAAAUCCGGGUUUUCUUAACACCGAGAAGUGAUGACGAGUGUCUACGGACACGAAGCAACCGAUACCACGCUUCCAGGAAAAGCCACUAAGCUUCAGUUUGAAUCGAACCGUACCGCAAACCGACACAGGUGGGCAGGAUGAGAAUUCUAAGGCGCUUGAGAGAACUCGGGAGAAGGAACUCGGCAAAUUGAUACCGUAACUUCGGGAGAAGGUAUGCCCUCUAAGGUUAAGGACUUGCUCCGUAAGCCCCGGAGGGUCGCAGAGAAUAGGUGGCUGCGACUGUUUAUUAAAAACACAGCACUCUGCCAACACGAAAGUGGACGUAUAGGGUGUGACGCCUGCCCGGUGCCGGAAGGUUAAUUGAAGAUGUGCAAGCAUCGGAUCGAAGCCCCGGUAAACGGCGGCCGUAACUAUAACGGUCCUAAGGUAGCGAAAUUCCUUGUCGGGUAAGUUCCGACCCGCACGAAUGGCGUAACGAUGGCCACACUGUCUCCUCCCGAGACUCAGCGAAGUUGAAGUGGUUGUGAAGAUGCAAUCUACCCGCUGCUAGACGGAAAGACCCCGUGAACCUUUACUGUAGCUUUGCAUUGGACUUUGAAGUCACUUGUGUAGGAUAGGUGGGAGGCUUGGAAGCAGAGACGCCAGUCUCUGUGGAGUCGUCCUUGAAAUACCACCCUGGUGUCUUUGAGGUUCUAACCCAGACCCGUCAUCCGGGUCGGGGACCGUGCAUGGUAGGCAGUUUGACUGGGGCGGUCUCCUCCCAAAGCGUAACGGAGGAGUUCGAAGGUUACCUAGGUCCGGUCGGAAAUCGGACUGAUAGUGCAAUGGCAAAAGGUAGCUUAACUGCGAGACCGACAAGUCGGGCAGGUGCGAAAGCAGGACAUAGUGAUCCGGUGGUUCUGUAUGGAAGGGCCAUCGCUCAACGGAUAAAAGGUACUCCGGGGAUAACAGGCUGAUUCCGCCCAAGAGUUCAUAUCGACGGCGGAGUUUGGCACCUCGAUGUCGGCUCAUCACAUCCUGGGGCUGUAGUCGGUCCCAAGGGUAUGGCUGUUCGCCAUUUAAAGUGGUACGUGAGCUGGGUUUAAAACGUCGUGAGACAGUUUGGUCCCUAUCUGCAGUGGGCGUUGGAAGUUUGACGGGGGCUGCUCCUAGUACGAGAGGACCGGAGUGGACGAACCUCUGGUGUACCGGUUGUAACGCCAGUUGCAUAGCCGGGUAGCUAAGUUCGGAAGAGAUAAGCGCUGAAAGCAUCUAAGCGCGAAACUCGCCUGAAGAUGAGACUUCCCUUGCGGUUUAACCGCACUAAAGGGUCGUUCGAGACCAGGACGUUGAUAGGUGGGGUGUGGAAGCGCGGUAACGCGUGAAGCUAACCCAUACUAAUUGCCCGUGAGGCUUGACUCUAU
rnacentral:rRNA from 2 species